CGACCGGCAAACGGGUGCGGAACACGUACGCAACCUUCCUUUAACUGGAGGAUAGCCCCUCGAAAGAGGGAUUAAUACUCCGUAACAUAUUGAUAAGGCAUCUUAUUAAUAUUAUAGCUCCGGCGGUUAAAGACGGGCGUGCGCCUGAUUAGAUAGUUGGCGGGGUAACGGCCCACCAAGUCUGCGAUCAGUAACUGGUGUGAGAGCACGACCAGUCACACGGGCACUGAGACACGGGCCCG
rnacentral:rRNA from 1 species